GGCCCUUCGGGGUACACGAGUGGCGAACGGGUGAGUAACACGUGGGUGAUCUGCCCUGCACUUCGGGAUAAGCCCGGGAAACUGGGUCUAAUACCGGAUAGGACUGCGCGGUGCAUGCCGUGUGGUGAAAGAUUUAUCGGUGCAGGAUGGGCCCGCGGCCUAUCAGCUUGUUGGUGGGGUAAUGGCCUACCAAGGCGACGACGGGUAGCCGGCCUGAGAGGGCGACCGGCCACACUGGGACUGAGACACGGCCCGACUCCUACGGGAGGCAGCAGUGGGGAAUAUUGCACAAUGGGCGCAAGCCUGAUGCAGCGACGCCGCGUGAGGGAUGACGGCCUUCGGGUUGUAAACCUCUUUCAGCAGGGACGAAGCGUGAGUGACGUACCUGCAGAAGAAGCACCGGCCAACUACGUGCCAGCAGCCGCGGUAAUACGUAGGGUGCAAGCGUUGUCCGGAAUUACUGGGCGUAAAGAGCUCGUAGGCGGUUUGUCGCGUCGUCUGUGAAAACAGCAGCUCAACUGUUGGCUUGCAGGCGAUACGGGCAGACUUGAGUAUUUCAGGGGAGACUGGAAUUCCUGGUGUAGCGGUGAAAUGCGCAGAUAUCAGGAGGAACACCGGUGGCGAAGGCGGGUCUCGGGAAAUAACUGACGCUGAGGAGCGAAAGCGUGGGUAGCGAACAGGAUUAGAUACCCUGGUAGUCCACGCCGUAAACGGUGGGCGCUAGGUGUGGGUUUCCUUCCACGGGAUCCGUGCCGUAGCUAAGCAUUAAGCGCCCCGCCUGGGGAGUACGGCCGCAAGGCUAAAACUCAAAGGAAUUGACGGGGGCCCGCACAAGCGGCGGAGCAUGUGGAUUAAUUCGAUGCAACGCGAAGAACCUUACCUGGGUUUGCAUACACCGGAAAGCCGUGGAGACACGGCCCCCCUUGUGGUCGGUGUACAGGUGGUGCAUGGCUGUCGUCAGCUCGUGUCGUGAGAUGUUGGGUUAAGUCCCGCAACGAGCGCAACCCUUGUCCUGUUUGCCAGCACGUAAUGGUGGGGACUCGCAGGAGACUGCCGGGGUCAACUCGGAGGAAGGUGGGGACGACGUCAAGUCAUCAUGCCCCUUAUGUCCAGGGCUUCACACAUGCUACAAUGGCCGGUACAAGGGCUGCGAUACCGUGAGGUGGAGCGAAUCCCUUAAAGCCGGUCUCAGUUCGGAUCGGGGUCUGCAACUCGACCCCGUGAAGUCGGAGUCGCUAGUAAUCGCAGAUCAGCAA
rnacentral:rRNA from 1 species